rnacentral:rRNA from 1 species
GCCAGACUCCUACGGGAGGCAGCAGUGGGGAAUAUUGCACAAUGGGGGAAACCCUGAUGCAGCGACGCCGCGUGAGUGAAGAAGUAUUUCGGUAUGUAAAGCUCUAUCAGCAGGGAAGAAAAUGACGGUACCUGAUUAAGAAGCCCCGGCUAACUACGUGCCAGCAGCCGCGGUAAUACGUAGGGGGCAAGCGUUAUCCGGAUUUACUGGGUGUAAAGGGAGCGUAGACGGCUGGUCAAGUCUGAAGUGAAAGCCCGGGGCUUAACCCCGGAACGGCUUUGGAAACUGAGCAGCUAGAGUGCUGGAGAGGUAAGCGGAAUUCCUAGUGUAGCGGUGAAAUGCGUAGAUAUUAGGAGGAACACCAGUGGCGAAGGCGGCUUACUGGACAGUAACUGACGUUGAGGCUCGAAAGCGUGGGGAGCAAACAGGAUUAGAUACCCGUGUA